rnacentral:rRNA from 1 species
UACGUGGGGGGCUAGCGUUGUCCGGAUUUAUUGGGCGUAAAGAGCGUGUAGGCGGCCAGGUAGGUCUGCUGUGAAAACUCGAGGCUUAACCUCGAGAUGUCGGCGGAAACCAUCUGGCUAGAGUCCGGAAGAGGAGAGUGGAAUUCCUGGUGUAGCGGUGAAAUGCGCAGAUAUCAGGAAGAACACCCGUGGCGAAGGCGGCUCUCUGGGACGGUACUGACGCUGAGACGCGAAAGCGUGGGGAGCGAACAGG